rnacentral:lncRNA from 1 species
AGUGCCCUCCCUCCAUGCUGACUCAACAGCUUCUGGCUUCCCUGCCUGGCUCUCCAGUGGAGCCACUGGACGACGCAGAAUUUAGAUAAUCGGAAUUGAAAAUAUAUCCACUUAAUUCUUCCUCCUUGGGAAGCAAAACCUGUCAUAUACAUUCCCAAACUGUGAGCUAAUGUCGAUCCCUGAGUGACUGUGAGCCUGGAGUGGAGAUUGUCGUUGACCCCGCUGACUGAUCUGCUGUGGGGAGCCAUGGAGAAGGCCUUGGCCUACAGAGCUGCAGUCUAAUCUCCCAUAGAAGGCCUCUCUGCACUCCCAGCUACAACCACCACCAAGCCCAAGCCUGCUGCCCAUCAAGCCAAGGACACCCACCUGGAAUCAGCUGGAACUCCCGCCUUUGUCUCCUGAACCCAGGCUAGAUCCAGCCUUUGGGGGCCCAGAUUCUGUUCUCAGCUCUUCCAAGACUUCCUGAGGUGCCUGGGUGUCCAAGAACCUGGGAACCACAUGGCCCCAGCCACUUCACAGGCCCAGGGACACUGAUCCACAAAAGUGAGAUCAAUAUCAAUUACCAAUACCAAUAUCAAUAUCAUCACUCACAGAUGAAGGAACUGUAACUGGCUGAAGUUGCUCAAGGACAGACAUGGAAAAUUGACAUCAUGCAGAUUGGAAACACAGGUAGUCUGGCUGUCCCCCACCUAGGACCAUGUGCAUUUGGUCUGCUGCUGUAUGUCCUAGGAACUCACAGUAACUCCCACUGCAGAUAGGAGGGAUUUUAACAGUGAGAAUUUCUUUUUUUCUUGUUUCUUAUAGCAUUGCUCCUGAGACUGAUAAAAGAGUCCACUUAGAGCUAGUUUAGCAUCAUUUACCCUCCAGGACUGGAGCUUCUCUGGUCCAGUGUAGUAAUUGCUUUUGCAUGUGUUAUAGCUAUUGCUUUACACAAGAAGAUAGAAAAUGCAGGCUGAGUUACUUUCCAUCACUUAAAUACCACCAAUCCUCUCUUUAUCUUCCACCUACAGGAAAAGCUUAGGUAAGUUUAUAAGAUUCUAAACACAGAUAUCCUUCAACUUUUUAAUAUUUUUAUGUUGAGAUUUUUCUCAGUCUCCUUUGUUGUAUGCACAGUACAUGAGAAGAAUGUAAGGAACAUGAAGGUGAUCAUGACUAUUUACCACUAAUAAAUAUCUUAGUGACAACCAAGCUGUUCUAGAUUAUCCAUGAAUUAAUUUCAUGUCUUCAGUUUAGGGUGUGAGUCUUCUGUACUGGUCAUACAUGGAUCUACAAUGCACAAAUGAAUGUUGAGCUUGACUGGCACUCAAGGCAUGUGAAAAAACUACUUGUUUGUUAAAA